rfam:Schistosoma mattheei strain Denwood, Zambia genome assembly, scaffold: SMTD_scaffold0002633
GCACUGCUGAGGAGUCCCACACUAGGACGAAACGGCCGUUCAGUGC